rnacentral:rRNA from 1 species
GACGAACGCUGGUGGCGUGCCUAAUACAUGCAAGUCGAGCGAAGUUUUUCUGGUGCUUGCACUAGAAAAACUUAGCGGCGAACGGGUGAGUAACACGUAAAGAACCUGCCUCAUAGACUGGGACAACUAUUGGAAACGAUAGCUAAUACCGGAUAACAGUAUUUCUCGCAUGAGAGAUAUUUAAAAGUUGGUUAUGCUAACACUAUGAGAUGGCUUUGCGGUGCAUUAGCUAGUUGGUGGGGUAAAGGCCCACCAAGGCGACGAUGCAUAGCCGACCUGAGAGGGUGAUCGGCCACACUGGGACUGAGACACGGCCCAGACUCCUACGGGAGGCAGCAGUAGGGAAUCUUCCGCAAUGGGCGAAGCCUGACGGAGCAACGCCGCGUGAGUGAAGAAGGAUUUCGGUUCGUAAAGCUCUGUUGUUAGGGAAGAAUGGAUAUGUAGUAACUAUACAUGUAAGAGACGGUACCUAACCAGAAAGCCACGGCUAACUACGUG